rnacentral:rRNA from 1 species
CCUACGGNNNNGCAGCAGUGGGGAAUCUUGGACAANNNNNNCAAGCCUGAUCCAGCCAUGCCGCGUGAGUGAUGAAGGNCUUNGGGUCGUAAAGCUCUUUCGCCAGAGAUGAUAAUGACAGUAUCUGGUAAAGAAACCCCGGCUAACUCCGUGCCAGCAGCCGCGGUAAUACGGAGGGGGUUAGCGUUGUUCGGAAUUACUGGGCGUAAAGCGCGCGUAGGCGGACUAGUCAGUCAGGGGUGAAAUCCCGGGGCUCAACCCCGGAACUGCCUUUGAUACUGCUAGUCUAGAGUUCGAGAGAGGUGAGUGGAAUUCCGAGUGUAGAGGUGAAAUUCGUAGAUAUUCGGAGGAACACCAGUGGCGAAGGCGGCUCACUGGCUCGAUACUGACGCUGAGGUGCGAAAGUGUGGGGAGCAAACAGGAUUAGAUACCCUGGUAGUCCACACCGUAAACGAUGAAUGCCAGUCGUCGGGUAGCAUGCUAUUCGGUGACACACCUAACGGAUUAAGCAUUCCGCCUGGGGAGUACGGUCGCAAGAUUAAAACUCAAAGGAAUUGACGG